rnacentral:lncRNA from 1 species
AUGCUUAAUGGGUGAGUUGGAUUUUUGUCAUGAUUUCAAUGAUUGUGGGCAUGUCCGCAGUCAUUUAGAUUAGGGUUAAGGUCUAAGGAUAAUAUGAAUAAAUAGUUGGGUUUACUUAUAUCCUGCUGUCCACCCAUGUUUCUCCCUCUGAGCAGUCUGCCUUAAUAUUUGUAUAUCCUGAGUUCUGGAUGGUCUAAAAAUACAAAAAAAAAUUGAAAUAAAAUAGACUUCUAUAUCUUUCAUUU